rnacentral:rRNA from 1 species
UACGGAGGGGACUAGCGUUGUUCGGAAUUACUGGGCGUAAAAGCGCACGUAGGCGGAUUUGUAAGUCAGGGGUGAAAUCCCGGGGCUCAACCUCGGAACUGCCUUUGAUACUGCAAAUCUCGAGUCCGGAAGAGGUGAGUGGAAUUUUCUAGUGUAGAGGUGAAAAUUCGUAGAUAUUAGGAAAGAACACCAGUGGCGAAGGCGGCUCACUGGUCC